rnacentral:rRNA from 2 species
UCUGGUAAUGAUGGCAGAGAGGUCACACCCGUUCCCAUACCGAACACGGAAGUUAAGCUCUCUAGCGCCGAUGGUAGUUGGGACCUUGUCCCUGUGAGAG